AUGGUUGCAAAUGUAAUUAUUUGGAAAAUGUUCACAUAUCCUGUGUUUGUUUACCAGGGUCUGCUUUACGUAAACAUGCGCAACAUGACUGAAGCACCGUCUAUCUUAAAGGGUAAGUUCAGCAACGGCGGCUCGUCUGGUUACAGACACCGAAACCAGAAACUUCGUAGCUUUACAGAGCGCUGGUAUGAAAUCACACUCAGUCUAAUGAGAAACUGUAGAACAGACUCGGUUUAUAUCACAAUACCUACAUUUAGAGUCGGUUAUUCAUUCAGCCUAAUGAGAAACUGUAGAACGGACUCGGUUUAUAUCACAAUACCUACAUUUAGAGUCGGUUAUUCAUUCAGUCUAAUGAGAAACUGUAGAACGGACUCGGUUUAUAUCACAAUACCUACAUUUAGAGUCGGUUAUUCAUUCAGUCUAAUGAGAAACUGUAGAACAGACUCGGUUUAUAUCACAAUACCUACAUUUAGAGUCGGUUAUUCAUUCAGCCUAAUGAGAAACUGUAGAACGGACUCGGUUUAUAUCACAAUACCUACAUUUAGAGUCGGUUAUUCAUUCAGCCUAAUGAGAAACUGUAGAACAGACUCGGUUUAUAUCACAAUACCUACAUUUAGAGCCGGUUAUUCAUUCAGUCUAAUGAGAAACUGUAGAACAGACUCGGUUUAUAUCACAAUACCUACAUUUAGAGUCGGUUAUUCAUUCAGUCUAAUGAGAAACUGUAGAACAGACUCGGUUUAUAUCACAAUACCUACAUUUAGAGCCAGUUAUUCAUUCAGUCUAAUGAGAAACUGUAGAACGGACUCGGUUUAUAUCACAAUACCUACAUUUAGAGUCGGUUAUUCAUUCAGCCUAAUGAGAAACUGUAGAACGGACUCGGUUUAUAUCACAAUACCUACAUUUAGAGUCGGUUAUUCAUUCAGCCUAAUGAGAAACUGUAGAACGGACUCGGUUUAUAUCACAAUACCUACAUUUAGAGUCGGUUAUUCAUUCAGUCUAAUGAGAAACUGUAGAACAGACUCGGUUUAUAUCACAAUACCUACAUUUAGAGUCGGUUAUUCAUUCAGUCUAAUGAGAAACUAG
ensembl:lncRNA